rnacentral:ncRNA from 1 species
UAAAGAGAUGUUCGGAAACCUCCAUCUAUAAAAAACUAGGCUUAU